AUGUUCUGCCACAGAAUUGUUUCCUGGUGCUCAGAGGGAGCCUCCUGUGUGCCUGGUUGUGCCCAUUGUCUCUUGUUCCAUUGCUGGGCACCACCAACAGAGCCUGGCUCUGUCCUCUGUGUACUCUCCCUCCAGGUAUUUGUAGACAUUGAUGAGCAUCAAUCUUCUCCAGGCAGAUCUGUCCCAGCUCUCUCAGCUUUCCCUCACAGGAGAGGUGCUCCAGACCCUUCAUCUUCUUGGUGGCCCUGCACUGGACUCUUUCCAGUAUGUCCCUGUCUCUCUUGUACUGGGUGGCUCAGAACUGAAAAUAGUACUCCAGGUGCAGCCUCACCUUGCUUUUCCCUCAUUCAACACAAAAUUCUUAGGAAGGUGGAGUGCUGUUGCAUUUUCCCAAAUGAGAACUGAGGACCAGAGAGGAGAGAAGGGGCCUGGUGAAACAAGGGACCCAGGUAGGACUUUUUGAACACCUCUGGCAAGCCAUGUCAGCACAGCCCUCUGCCUCUGAACAAACUGCCAGGACUGGCUCAAGAGUUGUUCCUCCAACACCCAACUUACUAUAGUCUUUAGACUUAGAGGGCGGGCAGUAUAGUCUUUCUUUUGUAGCCUUACCCUGCUUUUGUCAUGGGAGUCAUGUAAUCUCUUGAGAACUCUGUCACUCCCUUUACCAUCAGGGUCAAAAAACCUCCCAGCUAAAGUACCUUAUCAUUCCAUUCACAAAGUCAGCAGCUGUUUAGAAAUAUUUGGAAUAUUUGGAAAAUAUUUGCAGUAUUUAAUACAACUGGGAAUCAGAAGAAAGUACCAAAGUUGCCAUUUUACCUCUACAAUCUUCUAACUAGUGGUCCAUGAACCAAGGCUUGAGAAAUUCUUUCACUUUUUUACUUCUUAUGACGUUAUCAGCUUUUUAUUUUGAAAGACUCUUAAUAUGCUUUUGAAAGUGGCAAAAAUAAUUAUUCUUUUGAGUAAUAACUAAUGAAGAAUCUCUCAUAAGUGUUAAAAAACAGAGAUUCCCUUGCUUAGCCUGACUCUUCUUGCAGUGCUCCAUGUGUUGGCUCUUCAAAUCCACCAACAUAGCAAUACCCACAUGGUGCCUAUAUUUAACAGA
rnacentral:lncRNA from 1 species